UUCUCCGUGCUAAUGGCAUCCACUUCAGUAUUUGUAUAAUUUAAAUUAUUCCUGCAGAAACCUGUUCCACCAAAACCGGAGCCUAAACCAAGAAAAACAUCUGCUAAGAAAGAACCCGGAACAAAGAUUAACAGAGCUGCUAAGGGGAAGAAGGAAGAAAAGCAGGAAGCUGGAAAGGAAGGCACAGAGAACUGAUAACGAGGGAGAAUGAAUUGUCAUGGAAAACUAGGGUCGAUUUCACGUACCUCUGGGGACAACUUUUAAAAGCUAUUUUUACCAAGUAUUUUGUAAAUGCUAAUUUUUUAGGACUCUUACUAGUCGGCAUAAAAUCUAUAUGAAGAUGGACAUUUUAUCCUCCUAUGGUGAUGUUUUCUGGAAACUUCCAUCAUCCUCAAGUCAAGUAAAUACCAAUUUAAUAUCGGAGCUGCGUGUAAAAUGGAUUCAGCAUUCCAUGCCCUUGCUUUAAAAAUUUAGUCCUGUGCAUACCGUGGUGUUUUUACUGUGCAUAUUUGACUUUUUCAUGCAAUUUUUCUAGAGCAAUAAUCAGUGGUGCUUUUGUGCCUAGGUUUUAUGUGAUUUUAAUGAAAUGUGGAUAGUUGUGGCCACCUGCUGACUAUUUGUGGUUUAAAAUAAAAAGGUUUUCCUGUCUGCAAAAUA
rnacentral:lncRNA from 1 species